rnacentral:rRNA from 1 species
GAUGAACGCUGGCGGCGUGCUUAACACAUGCAAGUCGAACGGACUGAGGGAGCCUGCUCCCAAAGUUAGUGGCGGACGGGUGAGUAACGCGUGGGUAACCUGCCCUAUGCAGGGGGAUAACGUUUGGAAACGAACGCUAAUACCGCAUAACAUAACUAGUUUGCAUGAACUGAUUAUCAAAGAUUUAUCGGCAUAGGAUGGACCCGCGUUGGAUUAGCUAGUUGGUGAGAUAACAGCCCACCAAGGCAACGAUCCAUAGCCGGCCUGAGAGGGUGAACGGCCACACUGGGACUGAGACACGGCCCAGACUCCUACGGGAGGCAGCAGUGGGGAAUAUUGCACAAUGGGCGCAAGCCUGAUGCAGCGACGCCGCGUGAAGGAUGAAGGUUUUCGGAUCGUAAACUUCCAUCAGCAGGGAAGAACCAAAUGACGGUACCUGACUAAGAAGCCCCGGCUAACUACGUGCCAGCCGCCGCAGUAACAC